UAGAAGCAAUUCCAUUUGUACCAAUCCUUUAGGUCAACUUCUGCAUAGGCAUAUUGAUGAUUCAUCCAUUAUGACCCAUACCUUUCCCUUUAUGCAAAACCAAAACCCAAACUUAACGCAACAGCUUUUGCCUUCAAAGCAACAACCUCUCUUAUCUUCUUUCUAUUCUCUUCUGUCAUUUCUCGCCUGCAUACAUUAAUCACUUUCCCUUACCCUCCCUCUGUUUUCCCCAUAAUCAUCUUCAUUACAGCACUCCCAACAAAUAAAACGACAAAGUCUCAUUAGUUGCAACAUCCCAUAACCAAAUACACCACAAUUUCUCCCUUCCCCAAACCUAACCUUAUCACAGUACAUCAAUCGUGUUUUAUUUCUCAUCUCCCUCGUUUCUAUAAAUACCAUUUUUCAUUUCAAUUAAAUCACUAUCCCAAUUUUUUCUUCUUGUUGCGUCUUUUUUUCUUCUAAUUCCCAUCAUUUUCUUUUUAUCGAAAAUGAACACCAUGAGAGGACCGGAAGAUCAGCAAUCUAGGGUUUUCUGUGAGCUGUCGGCUCUGGUCUUCAACCUCCUCCGCUCUCCGCCGCUCAUGCCGGAGUCUCCGCCCAGGCGCCCAACGGCGGGGGCUCAGAUAACGCCGGCAGGGUUCGCAUCGCUGCUUCUGGGGAUUUCGGUGGCUCUCAUGCUCUGCGGAUCGGUUACUUUUUUCAUCGGGUUUAUGUUGAUGCCGUGGGUUCUCGGAUUGAUGAUGGUUUUCUACGUCGCUGCCAUCGUUUCCGCUCUCUCCGUUCUGGGGCGUUCCAUUCUCUGUUUUGCCUCGCCGCGUAAGGAUCUUCCUGGUUCAAAUUCUGUGGGAGCUCCUGGAAGAGUGAAAUUAUGAGAAUAAGAUAGACGGUCUGUGUGUAUGACCUUAGAAAGAAUCCAAUAAAAGAAAUGUUAAAUUCUUUUUGAAUCAAGGGUUGGAUCUGCAAGAUUGGUUUUCUCUUAAAACAGUGAAGGAGUAUAAGAUACAAAAAUUACAUUGAAGCGCAGCUUAUCUCUUAGAUCGUAUCACACACAUGUUGGAUCACGAGCCUAUUUUUGCUGUUUCAGAGUGGAAACUUAUGUGAAAAGAUAAAUAAGGGAGUGGACUAGUGCGAUCGUAGUUAUUGUGCCGGCCCCCUUGCGCAGCCUGCGGAACGAAGAUCACUGAACUUCUCUGACCAGAAGCAGGAGUUUUGGAACCAGGCUUUUGUGAAAAGUACUAAACUUUGUGGAUAUGGCUUCUCUUUUUAUUACAAUCAGCCAAGUUCUGAGGAAUCAAGAAUUGAGGACUUUCUUCCCGCUAUUGUCUAUUACUGUCAAUUAUUUUAUUUGUCGUUAUUUUCACUCUUGUAAAUUUUGAAGUAGAGGCUUCUGAAAUUCAUUUCUUUUCCAUUUCCAAACGUGGUAUAUAUACACUGUAAAAUUUGAUAUGAUGACUCACGAGAAGGUUGUCUUAUUACAAUUUUUUAUACACAAAAUUGAGAAUGGCUUUAUU